AGCUUUGAGCAGUGGCAGUAUCAUAGCCAAUGAGGUUUAUCCGAGGUGUGAUUAUUGCUAAUUGGAAUACUGAUCCAGUGAUUUAUGCAGGUUGUCUAAAUGU
rnacentral:snRNA from 1 species